UGGGGAAUAUUGCGCAAUGGGCGAAAGCCUGACGCAGCGACGCCGCGUGGAGGAUGAAGGCCUUAGGGUCGUAAACUCCUGUGGAGAGGGAAGAACAAAAUGACAGUACCUCUAGAGGAAGCACCGGCUAACUCUGUGCCAGCAGCCGCGGUAAUACAGAGGGUGCAAGCGUUAUUCGGAAUUACUAGGUGUAAAGGGCGCGUAGGUGGUUUGGUAAGUUAGUUGUGAAAUUCCAUAGCUCAACUAUGGAACUGCAACUAAUACUGCUGGACUUGAGUAUCGGAGGGGAAAGCAGAAUUCCUGGUGUAGCGGUGAAAUGUGUAGAUAUCAGGAGGAAUACCGAGGGCGAAAGCGGCUUUCUGGACGAAUACUGACACUGAGGCGCGAAAGCUAGGGGAGCAAACAGG
rnacentral:rRNA from 1 species